rnacentral:rRNA from 1 species
CCCGCCAGGGAACUACAAGCGCCAGCUUAAAACCCAAAGGACUUGACGGUGUCUCAGACCCACCUAGAGGAGCCUGUUCUAGAACCGAUAAUCCCCGUUAAACCUCACCAUCUUUUGCCUCUUUCCGCCUAUAUACCGCCGUCGCAAGCUUACCCCGUGAGGGGCCAAUAGUAAGCAAAAAGGGUAAAACCCAAAACGUCAGGUCGAGGUGUAGCUUACAAGAUGGGAAGAAAUGGGCUACAUUUUCUAUAGUCAGAAAACUACGAAUAGCGCCGUGAAACCAGCACUGGAAGGUGGAUUUAGUAGUAAAAA